UACGGAGGGUGCAAGCGUUACUCGGAAUCACUGGGCGUAAAGAGCGCGUAGGCGGGAUAGCAAGUCAGAUGUGAAAACCCGGGGCCCAACCCCGGGAGUGCAUUUGAAACUGUCUGGCUAGAGUGCAGGAGAGGUAAGUGGAAUUCCUAGUGUAGCGGUGAAAUGCAUAGAUAUUAGGAGGAACACCAGUGGCGAAGGCGGCUUACUGGACUGUAACUGACACUGAGGCUCGAAAGCGUGGGGAGCAAACAGG
rnacentral:rRNA from 1 species